rnacentral:sRNA from 1 species
UUUACGAGACUGUCCUCACGAAAGCCUGACUUCCAAAUUAGAUUGCAGACCCCAUUGCAGUGUUUUCCAAGCCUACUACGUCGGAACCUGUGCCUUCUAGAUUGGCUCCCGCUGCAAAUUUUGUCUUGUCAACAGGCACACGAGCAACCUCAGGCGAAUUCAUGAAUGCAGGGAGGUCAGUCCAGAACAUCUCUUCACCUUUCCUACUAAACUGGAGCGAAUGGAAACACCCAAAGUAUGCCAAUUUUUCCGAACGUUAUGCCAGCUUAAAAGAUUGGCCAAAGUUCCUCAAAGGUCCCAACAAGAAGGACUUGGCUAGAGCUGGUUUCAUCUACACCGAAAUUGGAGACAGAGUCACAUGUUUUUCGUGUGGAUUGUCUCUCAAGGACUGGGAACCCUUCGAUGAUUCCUACAAAGAACAUUUCCGUUGGUCAAAGAAUUGUGUUUAUGCUAACAUGGUGUCAGACGGGAAAGACUAUUGAGUUAAAUAUGUUGUAACAUUAUUCUUACAUCCUUGUUAGAAUAAAAUCAAAUGUAAUUAUUAUAGUAAACAAAUUUCCGUUUGACCUGGUAUUUAUUUCAUAAGAUGAAAUCAUUUAAAUGUUAUAAACCAAUCAGACAAAUAUUCGGAAAUGACAGUGUUUCCGAUUUAAACUCUGUUUAGGUAUAGGUAUAUUCAUUUAGUUAAAUAAACUGAUCACGACAACAUGUCUACUACCCAGUGCAGUCUGGAAUUAGGAAACGAGCGAUACAUUCAAGUAUGUACAUUGGACAAUGGUGAACGUAUAGUCGACAUACGGGAAUGGAAAUCAUCGGAAAAUCGACAGUUUCCAACUAAGAAAGGCAUCAGUUUAAACUUGCAGCUUUUUAAAACCCUGACGCUCUCCAUUGAUUUGAUCGACACAGACUUAGCCAAGAAAGAAGAUCUGAACUAUCAUAUCGGUGCUAAUAUAUUCUUACCGAUCAAAGGGGACAGUCCUUGUGUUAACAUAAGAAACUAUUGGAAACCGGAGAAUGAAGAAAACCUCGUACCCACCAAGAAAGGGAUUUGUCUCCGCCCUCUCGAAUACUUAAAUCUUAAAUUACAUCUGAGUAGCAUUGAAAAAGCCGUUCCCGAACUGGAAACCAUUGAACCCUGUUUUCUACAGGACGACCAUCAAAACUAGGGAUGCUUCGAUGUGCAAUGUGUAAUCCCUUAGAAUACCAGAACUGGUGAAACGAUUACAAACGAAAUGUGUGGAGACAUUUUCAAUGUUUAAAAAAAAACCUGUAUGAAUUGUUAAUAUCAAUCACACCUUUUAUAACUUUCUCAUUUUAACUUUGUUUAUAAAUUCGUAUUAAUUGUAUGUAUUCAAAUAAAUAUAGACAUGUAUCGAUCACU